UGGGGAAUCUUGCACAAUGGGGGAAACCCUGAUGCAGCGACGCCGCGUGAACGAUGAAGCCCUUCGGGGUGUAAAGUUCUUUCGACAGGAACGAUAAUGACGGUACCUGGAGAAGAAGCUGCGGCUAACUACGUGCCAGCAGCCGCGGUAAUACGUAGGCAGCGAGCGUUGUUCGGAGUUACUGGGCGUAAAGAGUGCGUAGGCGGCGAGCCAAGUUUGGUGUGAAAUCUCCCGGCUUAACCGGGAGGGUGCGCCGAAAACUGGUUGGCUGGAGUACGGGAGGGGAAAGCGGAAUUCCUGGUGUAGCGGUGAAAUGCGUAGAUAUCAGGAGGAACACCUGCGGUGUAGACAGCUUUCUGGACCAAAACUGACGCUGAGGUACGAAAGCGUGGGUAGCAAACA
rnacentral:rRNA from 1 species